rnacentral:lncRNA from 1 species
CUUACGGAUUGCAGCUUUAAUCAAUUUGAGGCCUUUGUUUCUCUUUGCAGAGGGGACCGCACUCAGUUUGGACAUAUUCUUGGUGACGCACAACGUCGUGACCAGCCUGACAUGCAGGACACUGAGAAUAUGUCACCUGCCCAUUUUGCUCUUCUCAGACUGCUCACACACAUGUCCAUGCUGCUGGGAACUCGAAACAACCUACAGAGUGUCAUGCAGAUCAUCAAGCCUGCUGUGCCGGAUCCCGGGCCGUUCCUGAUGGCCCAUCUGUUGAAGGACAUGGAGCAGCUGAGCAGAGCUCUGGAUAAAGGAGUGGAUGAUACGGUCAGUACCAUCCAUUUGACCAUCCACAGUCUACUGGAACCCCAUCAGACCAGCCAGAGGUCUGCUCCUUAUGAUAAAACCCUUUCCUCUAAAGAUGCA